UACGGAAGGGGGCUAGCGUUGCUCGGAAUUACUGGGCGUAAAGCGCACGUAGGCGGCUUUCUAAGUCGGGGGUGAAAUCCUGGAGCUCAACUCCAGAACUGCCUUCGAUACUGGAAAGCUCGAGUCCGGGAGAGGUGAGUGGAACUGCGAGUGUAAGAGGUGAAAUUCGUAGAUAUUCGCAAGAACACCAGUGGCGAAGGCGGCUCACUGGCCCGGUACUGACGCUGAGGUGACGAAAGGCGUGGGGAGCAAACAGG
rnacentral:rRNA from 1 species